ACCUACAGCCAUGCCACCCUGAACGUGCCUGAUCUCGUCUGAUCUCGGAAGCUAAGCAGGAUCGGGCCUGUUUAAUACUUGGAUGGGAGACCACCUAGGAAGACCGGAUGCUGUGGGCG
rnacentral:rRNA from 1 species